CUACACACGUGCUACAAUGGCCGGUCAAAGGGUCGCAAUACCGCGAGGUGGAGCUAAUCCCAAAAAGCCGGUCUCAGUUCGGAUUGGAGUCUGCAACUCGACUCCAUGAAGUCGGAAUCGCUAGUAAUCGCGUAUCAGCGCGACGCGGUGAAUACGUUCCCGGGCCUU
rnacentral:rRNA from 1 species